UCCUCAGUAGCUGAGUGGUAGAGCGGUCGGUUUUUAACCAAUUGGUCGUAGGUUCGAAUCCUACUUGGAGAG
rnacentral:tRNA from 1 species